UCGGCCUCCCAAAGUGCCAGGAUUACAGGCGUGAGCCUCCCGGCCUGGCCCUGUUCUUUUAAAAAUAGCCGAUCUAACUUCACACUACUACCAAAAGCCAGAUCUGUCCCCAAGCUCUUUCUUCCCACAUCUCCCCUACCUGCUUGAAAGGGGGUGUUAAGACCUCCUCCACACCUGAGCGCCCCCACCCUGUGGCCGCCACCACCAGAACCACCAUCAACUCUGGAGGCCGAUCUGAGGAGAGAAGAGAAGCCAACAACCCCGCAGGAUGAGAGAGCAAUCUCUUUUGUAUCACAGACCCUCCGGAGCAGUUGCGGGAGGGCUGGCUGGGUGCAUGGAAGUAUUUAGCAGGUUCAGUGCCAUUACUGCCUAACAGGGUGUGAAAAGUAAUAUGAAUGUGAAAUACUGUGGGAAAACGGAGAGUUUCCAAAGCAGGCAGCGAGGCCCCUCCGCUGGUGGGCCUGGAAGGCCAGAAUCCCUGCUGCCCCGAGUGCGGCUCCCGGAGGCGCUGCUACUGGCCGAGGACUGCAGAGGGAAUGUCGGGGAGGGGGAGAUGGAUGGAGGGUGAGAUGGGUGGAGGGUGCAGUCCGCCCUGAGAAGAGAGGGAGGGGCAAGCUGGCAGUGCCUGGGAAAAGCCCGAGAAAAGCCCUGUCGGCUCCCUCUUCCUGGCUGCUAAAGUUGACACAAGACGGCUUCUUGGAACUCCCCCUCCUCCCGCCUAAAUGUACAGAGCAAGACUUGAAGUCAAAAGAUAGAUAGCGAUCGUGCUGAAAGUCAGGUGGAAAACAAGACUGCUAAUUUUAUGAAACAACCUAUCAACCCACUGGGAAGAGAUGACAAGAGGUACAUGGGCGCUUCUGCAGGAGGUGGAGGUGGAGGUGAAAUGCCGAGGUUCUAGACUGAUGUAAAUUUCUCCAACUAACUCCAGAUCGAGAGCCUACAAAUCCGACAAAUAUGCCCACACUUUGACAGUAACCGCCUCCCAGCACGCCCCACCACCGCCAACACACAUGGAGGGGUUUGAACUUUUCCACCUUCCGGACCUCUGCAGUCCGUCGCAGGACGCCCAAACCACAGGCCGGACACAGAUGAAGCCAGACCACAGCCCCCGCCCCAGCCACCGCGGUAGGUGGGUGCCCAAGAGACUUCUCAGGUGAGGGCAGGGGCCCCCUGAAAGGCACUAGAGAAGGCCUGCCGCCCGAAUCUCCCCAAGUGCAGGGGAGAAUUACAUUUCCCCACCUCCUACCCAACCUGCCCCGGCCGAGUUAUGGACAUCGCCGCCUCAUUCUAGACUUGAAGGCACUCUGCGGCCACCAAGAGACCACUCCGCAUCCUAGGUCGAGCCUGUGGGAGAAGCACUCGGGGCCCGGGAGGCCGAGGCCUAAGGAAAGCAGCCGAUGGCUCCCAAGACAACUCUGUCCGGCCAGUACUCCAGGGCAACUUCAACCCCACUAGGACCCAGGCCAAAACCAUAUAUAUAUAUAUAUAUAUAUAAAUUAACGCAAAACAGAGCCACUUUGGUGCCUACCCCUCCACAAGUAGGUAGGCACAUCCAGGUAGCUCUGUCAGAAGAUGGGACCUGGCGCCUUGCAGGGGUAGCCCUAUGGAGAUCCAGAAGCCCCGUUUCGAGCUACGAAGUCUCUCUUCUACUGCAGUCUUCUCUCCAACGUGGAGAUCUAGCAACUUCCCUCCCCCUGGGAUUCCCUGUGAAUCCACUCUAGUUGGGAUAUAGCCUCUCUACAGCUCAGUGACGUAGCGCGCCAAAACCAAGUACCCACCCCGGCAACUGGAAGACCUAGCUGUCCUCCAUCCCGCCUCCGCAGUCGAUAAUCUCCAGGAUCCAAGCAAAGUGCCUGUCCACGUUGUCACCAGAUCCACAAGCGCUUUUGAUGAGAGCUGCUACCCUUUUGGAAACACGAUUCCCUCUCCCUAGUAGAGAAGAAUCUAUUCUUCUGGGCUGGCGUAGACAAAGAAUAACCAAGAUAAAGUAUGUGGUGUGAAAAUAUCAGCUGCCUCUUCUUUUUUUGUUUUUGAAACGGAGUCUCGCUCUGUCUCCUAGGGUGGAGUGCAGUGGCACUAUCUCUGCUCACUGCAACUUCCGCCUCCUGGAUUCAAGCGAUUCUCCUACCUCAGCCUCUGGAGUAGCUGGGACUAUAGGCGCCCGCCACCACGCCCGGCUAAUUUUUUGUAUAUUUAGUAGAGACGGGGUGGGGGGGUGUUUCACCAUGUUGGCCAGGCUGGUCACGAACUCCUGACCUCAAAUGAUCGGCCCACCUCGACCUCCCAAAGUGCUGGGAUUACAGGCGUGAGCCACCGCGCGCCGGGUGGAAAACAUUAGCUUCUAAUAGCAGUCUUGGAGUGGAGUGAAGACGUUCAGGAAGUGGUGGAGAUAGGCCUGCUCAAUUAACCGGCCCCAGAUAUCAUUUCUCUGGCUACCUCUUUUCUCGCCUGGCCUGGCCCUCUAUACCGUUUUUUGUUUGUUUGUUUUGUUUUGUUUUUUUUCUGCAAAACGUUUUCUGCUGCAACUUUCUCUUUAUUUAUGCCUUUAUCUUUCUUAAACAAGAGGUCCCUGGAAAUAACUAACUAAGGAGGGGAGAGGAACCCCCUCACCCCCAAUUUCAUGAAUGAGUGCUACAUUCAUGCUGGCCGGGUACCAAGAGCAUCUUUAGAUCUUUAGACCUGAGUCUUCUCAUCUGUGAAAAAGAGGUUAAAGCAGAUGAACCCUAAAGGCCCAUUUCCAGUCUUAAAUUCAACACUUUCAAGACAAAACUUUUCUUCUGUAUUCCUGAGUGUGUAUAUAUAUGUUAUGUAAUAUAUAUUAUAAUGUAUAUAUAUAAA
rnacentral:lncRNA from 1 species